UACGUAGGUGACAAGCGUUGUCCGGAUUUACUGGGCGUAAAGAGCGCGCAGGCGGUCGUUCAAGUCGAGUGUGAAAGCCCCCGGCUCAACUGGGGAGGGUCAUUCGAUACUGAUCGACUCGAAGGCAGGAGAGGGAAGUGGAAUUCCCGGUGUAGUGGUGAAAUGCGUAGAUAUCAGGAGGAACACCGGUGGUGUAGACGGCUUUCUGGACCGUAACUGACGCUGAGACACGAAAGCGUGGGGAGCAAACAGG
rnacentral:rRNA from 1 species